rnacentral:rRNA from 1 species
GGAAACUGGGGCUAAUACCGCAUAGGGGCUGAGGCCCAAAGCCGAAAGGCGCCUUUGGAGCGGCCUGCGUCCGAUUAGGUAGUUGGUGGGGUAAAGGCCUACCAAGCCUGCGAUCGGUAGCUGGUCUGAGAGGACGACCAGCCACACUGGGACUGAGACACGGCCCAGACUCCUACGGGAGGCAGCAGUGGGGAAUAUUGGACAAUGGGCGAAAGCCUGAUCCAGCAAUGCCGCGUGGGUGAAGAAGGUCUUCGGAUCGUAAAGCCCUUUCGACGGGGACGAUGAUGACGGUACCCGUAGAAGAAGCCCCGGCUAACUUCGUGCCAGCAGCCGCGGUAAUACGAAGGGGGCUAGCGUUGCUCGGAAUUACUGGGCGUAAAGGGCGCGUAGGCGGCGGCCCAAGUCAGGCGUGAAAUUCCUGGGCUCAACCUGGGGACUGCGCUUGAUACUGGGUUGCUUGAGGAUGGAAGAGGCUCGUGGAAUUCCCAGUGUAGAGGUGAAAUUCGUAGAUAUUGGGAAGAACACCGGUGGCGAAGGCGGCGAGCUGGUCCAUUACUGACGCUGAGGCGCGACAGCGUGGGGAGCAAACA